GCGGUUUCUUGAUUCUAAUUGAUGCUCUGGCAGAUCCUCUUCCCAUCCUUCAUUCUUGUGUCCCUCCUGAUUCAUCCAAACAUCUUGCAAAGUCUGAUUGUUUUGUCCAGAGGAUUUAGUAACUGCUAAAAUUUGGCCACCUGAAUCCCUCUCCUUGAGUGUGUUUUCCAGUUCAUUCUGAACUACAUAAUUAUAUCCCACUAGGCUAUUUUUUU
rnacentral:misc_RNA from 1 species